CAUAUCAAUAAGCGGAGGAAAAGAAACUAACAAGGAUUCCCCUAGUAACUGCGAGUGAAGCGGGAAAAGCUCAAAUUUAAAAUCUGGCAGCCUUUGGUUGUCCGAGUUGUAAUCUAGAGAAGUGUUAUCCGCGCUGGACCGUGUACAAGUCUCCUGGAAUGGAGCGUCAUAGAGGGUGAGAAUCCCGUCUUUGACACGGACUGCCAGGGCUUUGUGAUGCGCUCUCAAAGAGUCGAGUUGUUUGGGAAUGCAGCUCAAAAUGGGUGGUAAAUUCCAUCUAAAGCUAAAUAUUGGCGAGAGACCGAUAGCGAACAAGUACCGUGAGGGAAAGAUGAAAAGAACUUUGGAAAGAGAGUUAAACAGUACGUGAAAUUGCUGAAAGGGAAACGCUUGAAGUCAGUCGCGUUGUCCAGGGAUCAACCUUGCUUUUGCUUGGUGCAUUUUCUGGUUGACGGGUCAGCAUCAAUUUUGACCAUUGGAAAAAGAUUAGGGGAAUGUGGCAUCUUUGGAUGUGUUAUAGCCCUUGGUUGCAUACAAUGGUUGGGAUUGAGGAACUCAGCACGCCGCAAGGCCGGGUUUUUAACCACGUACGUGCUUAGGAUGCUGGCAUAAUGGCUUUAAUCGACCCGUCUUGAAACACGGACCAAGGAGUCUAACAUGCCUGCGAGUGUUUGGGUGGAAAACCCGAGCGCGUAAUGAAAGUGAAAGUUGAGAUCCCUGUCGUGGGGAGCAUCGACGCCCGGACCAGACCUUUUGUGACGGCUCCGCGGUAGAGCAUGUAUGUUGGGACCCGAAAGAUGGUGAACUAUGCCUGAAUAGGGUGAAGCCAGAGGAAACUCUGGUGGAGGCUCGUAGCGAUUCUGACGUGCAAAUCGAUCGUCAAAUUUGGGUAUAGGGGCGAAAGACUAAUCGAACCAUCUAGUAGCUGGUUCCUGCC
rnacentral:rRNA from 1 species